rnacentral:lncRNA from 1 species
CUAUACUUUGCAGUACUUUAUACUUUGGAGUACUCUAUACUUUGCAGUACUUUAUACUUUGCAGUACUUUAUACUUUGUCUGUGAGUAUUGAGUCCAGGUAUUCCUGCUGCAGCUGAAAUGAGUCUCCAGCCAGGAGGACAAAGUGUGAUCAGAGUCUGAGAACAAAAUCUGUCUGGAGGUCUGUCUGAGAGAGGAUGAAACUGAAGCUCCUAUUGGUCCAUCUGUUAGAGUGGGAUGAAGCUGAAGCUCCUAUUGGUCCAUCUGUUAGAGUGGGAUGAAGCUGAAGCUCCUAUUGGUCCAUCUGUUAGAGUGGGAUGAAGCUGAAGCUCCUAUUGGUCCAUCCGUUAGAGUGGGAUGAAGCUGAAGCUCCUAUUGGUCCAUCUGUUAGAGUGGGAUGAAGCUGAAGCUCCUAUUGGUCCAUCUGUUAGAGUGGGAUGAAGCUGAAGCUCCUAUUGGUCCAUCCGUUAGAGUGGGAUGAAGCUGAAGCUCCUAUUGGUCCAUCCGUUAGAGUGGGAAGAAGCUGAAGCUCCUAUUGGUCCAUCUUUCAGGUGGGAUGAAGUUGGAAUGAGCUUCUCUCUCAGGGACUUGGUCAGAGUUUCAUGUCAACAUCUGGACCUCCUAACAGGACGGGUUCAAACGACCAGAACCAGCUUUGAGAGAAUUGGGCCCCCGUGACUCUAACUCUGGACCCAAAGACUGAAGAUGAGUGGACGGUCACGGCUUGAUCUUGAGCUCUGAUUGGAUAAUCAUCUUGAUUGACAGCUGAGUAGACGAUGUUUGUCAGACAAAAGAAGAAGAUCUCAGGACAACAACCAUCAUCUUCCUCAGUCUCUGACUCCACCCCCCAACCUUGUUUGUGGCGACGUCCUCCCUCAACCCCCCCUUUGCCUCUGAGGGCUCAAAAGCUUGUUGCUAGGCAACCAUCAACGGAAGGCCUGAAGGGUAAAGGUCAGAGGUCAGGGGUCAGAGAUUCCUGGCCGAGUGCCCUGAGAUUGACCUGUGACCUGAGUCCAGGGCGAACUCAGAGGUCACAAACGCCGUCUACCGUCACCUGGUGUGUCCGGAAGACUCCGCCUCCAUCCAGCAAACCAAACCCUUUUGGAGUGCCAUCAGCCCCGCCCACUGGCAAGUCCACGCUCUCUCUGCCUCCAGCAGCCAAUCACAGCUGUUACCCGUCAGUUCCUGAGGAAGACCCUCCCAUGGGGCGGAGCUCCGGCGCCACGAUGAGGUCACUGACCUCAUUCUGCUGCAGUGUCUUCAGGGACAGUCUGCUGCCCCUCGACCAUAAGAUCAAUCAGACCGUGGUGAGUCCGUCCUCUUCAACAGAUGUUUCUCCUCAGUCUGACAAACAGAACGAAGAAGAUUCACACGGGUUGACUUCCUGUCAGGAGUCUUCCUCAGACGGUGUCCUUCAUCAAUUAAUCAACUGACUGUGAAGUCUUUGGCUUCACACACACACACCCCCCCCCCCCCCCCCCCCCCCCCCAAAAAAAAUCUACAGAAAAGGAUCCUGGGAGAUCGAGUGGGAGUGUCUAUGAUGUUCUUUGUCAUCCAUAGGAACUGGUUCUCUUUUGUUUGGUGGUCGGGGUGUGUUCCAG